AAACCAGCACCUCAAGUGGUCAGGAUGAUUAUUGGGCCUAAAGCAUCCGUAGCCUGAUCUAUAAGUUUCCGGUUAAAUCCAAAUGCUCAACAUUUGGGCUGCCGGAAAAACUGUAGAUCUAGGGAGUGGGAGAGGUAGACGGUACUCGGUAGGAAGGGGUAAAAUCCUUUGAUCUAUUGAUGACCACCAGUGGCGAAGGCGGUCUACCAGAACACGUUCGACGGUGAGGGAUGAAAGCUGGGGGAGCAAACCGGAUUAGAAACCCGAGUAGUCC
rnacentral:rRNA from 1 species